CUCCAAUCUUAACCUGAUAUCCGAACUGAAAACAUCUGAAUUUUUAGAUAGGAUCUUAUCAUGGUAUCAGUGUCCCUCAUUUCAGAUUUCGUUCCUUUAAGAGAAAAUGUUGAGAAAUAAUAGUUCCACAUCAGAUACGUUAAAGUCUCUUAUAUGUCCUGCUUAUAUUUUUACUAUAUUCUGAUGCGGAUGUACCAAGAGAGGGUUGCUGCAAUUCACAGGGAACACAGCACGGAACAAGUGGAGCAUUAUGGCCUUUUUCCUAAUGCAUGGUGGGGAGGAAGCAGUUGGAAGAUAGGGAACACAGUGGCCAUACCUGCUCCAAUAAAAACCACUUGUUUCUUGCAUCCUUUUCAACAACAUAGAGAACUUGUGCCUGCCCCUUAGCAGGAACGACAGAGAGAGAGAGGAGCAGCCGCCCCAACAAGAACAAGUUGUGGAUACUCUCUCACAUGUUCGCUGGAGGUAGGCUGAGAUGCUGCCGCCCA
rnacentral:lncRNA from 1 species